GAUGAAGAACGCAGCGAAAUGCGAUAAGUAAUGUGAAUUGCAGAAUUCAGUGAAUCAUCGAAUCUUUGAACGCACAUUGCGCCCCCUGGUAUUCCGGGGGGCAUCCCUGUCCGAGCGUCAUUACAACCCUCAAGCUCAGCUUGGUGUUGGGCCCCGCCGCCCCGGCGGGCCCUAAAGUCAGUGGCGGUGCCGUCCGGCUCCGAGCGUAGUAAUUCUUCUCGCUCUGGAGGUCCGGUCGUGUGCUCGCCAGCAACCCCCAAUUUUUUUCAGGUUGACCUCGGAUCAGGUAGGGAUACCCGCUGAACUUAAGCAUAUCAAUAAGCGGAGGA
rnacentral:misc_RNA from 1 species